GUGAAGGCCAGAGGUGAGACUCCACACCAGGUGCAGCAUCACGCAGCUCUGUCCAGCAGUAGCCUCUUGCAUACAGUGCCUGGUCUCGGGUGAAGUUGUGGGGUGUGUAACAGUAUAUGGACUCCUCUGAGGAUGGAAGAAAUCCCGCAGCACAGCGCAGGUAGUCCAUGGCAACAGGAAAGAGAUUUCCGAGGUACAAAGAGAAUCCAGAAGUGAUGAGAAGACUGCCCUGCGGUCACAUUCACAUAUUCAGUUUCUGGGCCAGACGCACUCACUGCAAAUGCCAAACAUGAGUGGAAGUGGAGAAAGUACCAUCAUGUCAUCAUGUGGCUCAAUCAGGAAUAUUAUACUUCGUCAGGAGAUGAGAUGCUUGCUUUUAUUUUGGUGGCCUUUCAUUCACAGCAUCAGUUGCCUGACCACACACAUGCGAUUAAUUUUCAAGAGGGGCCGGUAGAGAACAAAAACAGGCCUGUCCUUUCUGUGUGCCACUUGAUUCUUCCCUACUCCAUCACUUCUCUUAACAGGUCUACGUCUCCUUUUGUGAACUGGCUUGUGAGAACACAAGACAGUCCAUCAAUUGAUGAUGCAGAAAUGAGGUCAUGACACCUUUGAUUGAGCAAGGAGUAGUCGUAGCUGAGAUGGGAGGAGAAACUGAUUAGGCAUGAUUCAAUAGGAUGGGUUUUCAAUAUAUUAUUUUGGCUUUUCCAAAAACAAAAGACAUACAGUGAAGAAUAUAAG